UUGUCCUAACGUGGGAAGUUCCCCCAGGACAUAUUUUGGAAUGGAGAACAAAAUGCACGUUGCAGAACAAUAUGUAUUUUGUCAUUGUUUUAGGCAAAACCAGCCCCUCAAAACAGUGCUGCUUUAGUGUGGUAGACAUCAAUGUGAUCCUACAGACCGACGUUAGGACAAUGUGAGAGGGAACUUGAAGAGUAUGAAGACCAGGCAGCAGACAUCAUUGGACACCAUCUUGAAGGGCAACUUCUAUGGUGUGGGGCCAUUUUCCAAACUCUCACUCCCAUUGAUAAUUACCAGAUACCUACAGGGUGCCUAAAGCUAGAGUAGAAAUAAAGGAAUUAGAAACAAUGUAGAAAUUGGGAGAAUACAACACUGGUACAAUUUCCUUACCAUCGGGUGAAUGAGUCCUCAGGGAAGAAGGUAAAACGUAUACGACCACAGUUUUACACAGCAUACUAAACUCAGUAUUAGUUACCUUGUAUAAUAUUCUGAAAUCUCUCUUUGUUGAUCCAUCCAGCUGGUUUUAAUUACCCACUAUAUAAAUGAGAUAUUUCUACGUUUUCCAUCUUAUUACUCCCAAACAUGUAUGGAAAUGCCAUUAAAUUUUUACCAUUGAGGUUUAUAGUACCUGUGUUGGGUAACCAUAAUAUGUAACAUGAUGAUUAAUAAAGGUAGUAGUGGAGGCUUCCUCUGAUGAUCCUGAUCCUCCUCCAA